rnacentral:tRNA from 1 species
GCCGAUGUAGCUCAGUUGGUAGAGCACGUCAUUGGUAAUGACGAGGUCGCCGGUUCAAUCCCGGCCGUCGGCUCCA